ACUAAAAAUAACCCACCCGGGCAGAAGGCCUUCCUGAACCAGGCGGCGGUGCCCAGCGUGGCCCGCGCUUUAGAAAUGCUUCGAAUGUGGAACAAGGAAGGCCGAACUGCGUGGAUAUUGAGCCAAAAUCCCAGGGCUUUGCAAAAACAGCAGGUUAAAAGGAUAAAAAAGAUACGGUUUAAGAACUCAAGAGCCAACCCCUGUAAGCCGAAAAGUGCGCCGUGGCUACCCCCAGGAACACCGCUGUUACGUACACAUUUGGAGAUGGGGACAAAGCGCCCCGUGGACAACCGAAGGAAUGUUGGAGGGUGUUCCACCAGUCCUAAAAGGGAGACCUGUCACCACUGUUGAUUCAGGAUGAAUUAAAACCAUCUUUUAAAAUCUGUAAUUGACGUAUAAUCUAAGUUUGGUUUGGUUUACAGGUGAUCUACUUGGCUUUCCUCCAGAGGUGGGUGGCAGCAGCAGGAAGGAGCCUGGCAGUGUGGGAGGAGACAGGACAAGCGUCAGGGGAAGAAUUUCCAGGUGUUGUUGGUGUUGGUUCAUCUCCACUGGCGAGAGUGGACGUGCAGAUACCUGCCACCUGAAGAACUCAGUCAUCGUGUACAUUUGAGUAACUUAACACAUUGCUGACUUAUUUGUACCACUGACUUAUUUGAUUUUACCGUGGCCAAGCUUAAGGAAGAUAAAGGACAUUCACCUGAAACUUGGGGAGGCCACAGAUUCACUGGUGCCCUGGAUGCUGCCCAGCAUCCCUCCUCCUCAGGCUCCUGUGGGGCUCACUCCCCUGCUCCUCCCCCUUCCUCUUGAGCAGCUCCUCAGUCUCCUUCUCCAGCGCCUGUUCCUUCUUCUAAAAGCUGUGUCCACAACAACAUGACUUGGGCUGCCAUCUGUUCCUCUCCACACCCUAUUCUUGCCCCUCCAGCCAGAUGCUAUGCAUGGUUUCCACCUGUCACAGGUCUCUUGCUUCAGCACUCCAGUCCCUGUUUUCCAGUGGCCCUCUAGAUACCAUCACAGCACCAUCAUCCUAUUAGUGCAAACUUUAUGAAUAUUUAAUUGCCAGGCAGUAAGCUACACCCUUUAUAUGCACUGUCUUGUUUUAAUCUUACUGGGAGGUGCCAGCCUAUGGAGAGGGAACUGAAACUUUAAGAGGCUAAAUAAAUUAGGUGCCCAAGACUGCAGAGUGCAUGCAAAGCACAGUGGACUCUUAGUCCUGCCAACUCUUAACUCCACUCCUUCACCAGAACAGUAAACUUAACAUAUCCCACACUGAACUCAGAUUCAUCCCUACCCCCUGGCUCUCCUGGAAUGUCCUUGUUUAUAAUGUUAGCACUACUAUUCCUAAAACAGAAACUCCAAACCUGGCAUUAUCUUUGACUCCUAAAAUAGAUAUGAUGGGUCUGGGUAAUGUGUCUGGAUAAUGUGUCCACCCCUAGAUCAAUCCCCUUUGACUAAGCAGCAGACUAGCUGAGACCUAACAUGACAACUGGGGCCUUGCCUGAAAUAGGGAUUGUUCCCAGACAGUUGAGCACCUAUGGAAAUGUACCCAAGGUUCUUUCACACACACAAAAAAAAUGUUUGCAACAUGCCCUGCCCUUACAACAUGAAAGUCACCAUAUAAAAAGAGAAGCCACAGAAUAAGAAGCAAAACAGUAUUGUUCUGCAAGAGACCAGCAAUUCAAUCACAUGAGAUGGAAGGCAAUUCCCACACCUUGUAUGAGUCUCUGGUGGUUAACAGUCAACAGUGAUGUGUUCAUGUUCAACAAAGUUCACUAGGAGGACUAGACAAGAACAGAAAACUACCCAAAUGACCAUUGGCAAUAGACCAGAUAAAAUAUGGUUCGUUCAUACAAUCGACUACUUCAGAGCAACGAAAAUUAAUGCUCUACAAACCCACACAGCAAUACUGCUGAAACUCACAAGGCAAAGCAAAAAGAAGCCAGACCCAAAACAAGAGUUCAGCGUAUGAUUGCCUCCAUGUGAAGCAAGAAAGAGGCAAAACGAAGGAAUUCCACCUCAAGGAAUCCACUGGAGGACAGCAGAGCAGCUAAGUGGGCUGGUAAUGCCGUCUCCUGUGCUAGACACCGGGUACUCACGCGUGUUCAGAUUGUCAAAAUUCAUCCAGCUGUUCACAUACCCUAUCUGCCCUUUUCUAUAUGUAUAUCAUCCUUCAAUAAUAUUGAAAUGAUGGCGGAGUGCUCAAAUAAAGGCACCUUUAAUCAGCCUUGAACUUCAACACCAAGAUUAUCCUAGAGUGACCAGUUACUGUCACCCCUGCCCCGUCCAUUACCCCACCUUCUGAGAGAACCAGCAACCUUGGGAAAGAGCCACAUUACUUACCACAUGGCCUCAUCUCCUCUGGCCCAGCCUGGCUAGAUAUCCCUCUCCUGGACACUUGGGAGUGGGACACUAUGAAGCCGAGUCACAAGAUCCGGUCUGCUUGAUCUGACAACUUAUACGGACUGGAGGAAGGAGUUUCUAGACGCGUGCACAGUGAUAACAACAAGAAAGAUGACCUGCAGGACUCAGAAGAGGAGAGCCCACGUACAGAGGAAAGCAUAUGAUCCAAGAGAGAUGGAGGGAGAUGCCACAGAGGUGCCGACUUUCAGCCCUGGUUCCCAGACCCCAGCUUCAUCAGCCUGGCCAUUUGCUCCCUGCCGUUGCAUCUGACACGCCUACCAAAGGCCCUAAGCAACAGGUCCGGGCGAUCAAGGAUGGAACCUUUAACACUGUGAGCCAAAUCCCAGAGUAUCUGGGGUCCAGCCUGUUGGGGGAAGUGCCCAGGAGGCUCGACUGUGGGGACCCAUUGCCAGCUAAGGAGAUAAGCCAGAGAGCAGACGGCGAAGGAGAGAACUGGAAUACAACUUUAAGAAAGAGCCUCCCAGACUCCCAUGUGAACUACGAACUGAGCACAAGCCCCCUCAUUCAAGGCCCAACAGAAUGAUGAAAAGCUGCCAUGAGGGGAGCCACUCUGCCCCACCACAUGCUCCCUGCCAUGAUGCCACACCACGGCCUGAAACCACAGACCAAAAUCAACCUCUCCUCCUUGACAAGAACUAUGACCAACACCCAGCAAGCCCCAACAGAGACAGGCUGAGCCCUUCCUUUUAGAGUAUCCCCUGUCUCUGUCCCCUUUCCAGAAGAAGCAAAGCAUGUCCCCAGAUUGAGGACAAAAGAUGCAAACAUCCGCAAUAUUGUUGACUCACAGUGAAAAAGACUGGCAGGACCCACCAGGCGCUUCACACGUAAAACUACGCCAGGACUGGGGCUCAGCAGUGGGAGCUUGCCUCGUACACGGGAGGCACUGGGUUGGCUCCCCAGCACCCAAAAAAAUAACUAACAAAGGUAUUGUGUCCAUCUACAACAAAAAGAGCAAAAAGGAAGUUACUCUUUCCAGCCUUCACUUGGUUUCUGUGGAAACAACCAUCCCUGAAGCUCACACUCCCUUGGGGACCUGACGGUGAGCUCCAGAGGGGACGAAGAGCAGCUAGUAGAAAGCACUGAGCCCACGUUCACAACUCCCUCUCCACAACCUAGUGCGCUCCUCAGAGCAUCACCCCCAGGGCACCUACUCAUCAAGGACCCUGCUGGGUAAAAUGUGAAACUGCCAGUUCUUUGUGGGUGACCUGUGGGACAGCAGCCCUACCCAAGAGGACGGAACCUCAUGGACCCUCAGGCUCUGCAGGCUGGGAAGUGAGUUUCAUGCUGAAAACCUGUUAGCAUCCUAAAAGGUACCGGAUCAGUAAAAUCACGUGAGGAAACAGGCAGCAAGGCUUCUGUACUGCACAGAAUUGUACCCCAGGAGCCGUUCAAGACACCAAUACCAGUUGUGGCUCCAUGGUCAAGCAAGGGCAAAGAGUCCAACCUCCAGCACCCUCCCAACAUUUUUUAAGUGUUAAUACCAUGAUGAAGAGGAAAAGGCCCUGGACUAGAGGUCAAGAGCUCAAAGUUCAGGUGCAAUUGUGCAAUCAGAAAUAGCUCUGCAGCAUAUACACGUCACCACCAAGUCCCUCUGAGCAAUUCCCUCCUAACCAGUCAAAGGACAUGAGUUAGAACUAGGUAAUCAUCUAGCACUUCCUCACUUCAAAAUCUCUGACAUCCUUUAAGGAAGACCAAUAAGCAUAGAAAUAAAGAGUGGACAUCAAUUACAAUUUUAGAUUCUCCAGUAGUGUAUGGAAUCAAUCGACUUCCUAAAAUCUAGAGUCCUGGCAAAUCACCUGGUGCAAUUGCAUCUCAUUUUAUCUUAAAAUUCCACGAGUUCAUGUCGAGUGCUCUGUCCAGCCGGGGACAUUUCACAGAAUGAGGGGGCUUUUGCCUUUGCAGACCUCAGUGGGCAGAGGGAUACAGGUGACUUAACAAGCAACCACAACCCAGUGAUGAGGAACAGGACAGAAAAGAACAUCUAACAGGAAGCACGUGCGCCAGCACAGAAGGCUCUUCUCCCCGAGCCACGUCCACGUGAGAGCGUGAGAGCGAAGGCAUGAGCAAAAGUCUGAGCCCAGAGCCGAGGAGCGGGGCCCUCCCAGCAGAGGGAGCCCUGAGGAGAGAGGGGAGAGCCCCCGGGAGAGGGCUCGCUGCAUGUGAGGCAGACCUGCAGAGGACAAGGGACAAGGGGAAGCAGCAGCUGGGCAGCCGGCCCUCCCAGAGCAGAACAGUUUGCCUUUGCUUUCAUCUGCAGGCUGAAAGGUGGUCCAGGCUGCGGGGCUGAGCAGGAACCCACCAGGAGUCUGCAGCACGAAUCCGACCAAGGGAGACCGGGCCAGGGGAAGGGGAGAGACAGAGGAGCCGGGCCCAGACUAGGUGAGUGAGCAGGUGUGCGGAGGGCAAGACUGAUUCCAGGCCCAGAGAACGGGGAGAAGCAACCUGUGUCAGCCAAGAGGGCUGGAGCAGCCUGAAACUGCGGCAGGCACUUGGCUACCUCUUGGCAAGAGGCUGCCUGAGACGGCAGAGAACACAGAGGAAAAGGAACCAAGAGGCAGAGGGGGGCUGCUUGUGAGCCCUCAGUCUGCCUCGGACCAGCCAGCUCAGGUCGGGGGGUCCCCUUCAGACUGUGCUCUUCUCCCUGGCAGUGCUGGUGUUCUUGUGGUUAGUUCAGUCUGACUCUGGAUUCUGUCACCAGGAACUGAAAGAAUUCCAGGAGGACGGGUACAGCUCAAAUGGGGAGCCCAGGGUAGACGUGGCACCAGAAGACGAGCCCAGCAGGAGCCAAGAACGAACAGCACUGGGACAGCAGAGGACCAGGACAGCAGGGGACCAGGACUGCAGGGGACCAGGACUGCAGGGGACCAGGACUGCAGAGGACCAGGACUGCAGGGGACCAGGACUACAGAGGACCAAGACUGCAGAGGACCAGGACAGCAGAGGACCAGGACAACAGAGGACCAGGACAGCAGAGGACCAGGACUGCAGAGGACCAGGACUGCAGGGGACCAGGACUACAGGGGACCAGGACUGCAGAGGACCAGGACUGCAGAGGACCAGGACUGCAGAGGACCCCACCAGAGACCUCCCCAGGAGGCACCAGCCAGCGAGACCAAGUGCUUCUGAGUGACGGUUAGAUGCAGACCACUGGACUUAGCUGCAAGGACUCAGUUGGUGACCUGACCGAGGACAGCGUCAGUGACCAUGGGAGGAGAGGCCAGACUGAAGGGCACCGAGGUAAGGGACAGCAAUGGAUACCAGCCACUCUGAGUCAGGAACCAGGUUGUGAAGAGGGGGUUGCUAGGGAGGGUGGGUUUUGAUGGGUGCCACGGAGAGCAUGCAAAGGCCAGGAGGUACAGGAGAGGGGACACUCAACCCAGAGGUCCCCGAGAGGGAAGGGAAACCCACGGACUGAAAGGAGCUGUUUGAAGGCCUCAACCUCCGUAAAGUCCAGCAGCAGGCCCUCUGCACAGAGUGAGGGGAGCCUGGAGGCCACCUGAACAAUCUGCUGUGGAGUAUGGGAGAGAAAGUUCUAGAAAAUCCAGGAGGGUUACCUGUAAGCUAUGAGGA